AUUGAACGCUGGCGGCAUACCUUACACAUGCAAGUCGAACGGUAACGCGGGGCAACCUGGCGACGAGUGGCGAACGGGUGAGUAAUGCAUCGGAACGUGCCCAGUAGUGGGGGAUAGCCCGGCGAAAGCCGGAUUGAUACCGCAUACGACCUAAGGGUGAAAGCGGGGGAUCGUAAGACCUCGUGCUAUUGGAGCGGCCGAUGUCAGAUUAGGUAGUUGGUGGGGUAAAGGCCUACCAAGCCUUCGAUCUGUAGCUGGUCUGAGAGGACGACCAGCCACACUGGGACUGAGACACGGCCCAGACUCCUACGGGAGGCAGCAGUGGGGAAUUUUGGACAAUGGGCGCAAGCCUGAUCCAGCCAUGCCGCGUGCGGGAAGAAGGCCUUCGGGUUGUAAACCGCUUUUGUCAGGGAAGAAACGCUUCGGGUUAAUACCCCGGGGUAAUGACGGUACCUGAAGAAUAAGCACCGGCUAACUACGUGCCAGCCGCCGCAGUAAUAC
rnacentral:rRNA from 1 species